rnacentral:lncRNA from 1 species
UGGUAUCUACAUCAUCACCGGUAUUGUGGUCUUGGGCGAGGAUCUAUAUUCCAUACUCAUGAGGGAUUCCCUAACAAAUGAGGUAGAGGAGGGGAAGGCAUGGGCUCACAAUGGGAAGGAGUGUUAUUUUGCACUUUGGUUCUCCUCUCAGCUUUGUCUUAGACAUGAGGGUGCUUGAAUUGAUAGUUCCACUACUUCCUUAGAGGGCUCAAAAAGGUCUGGC